UACGUAGGGUGCGAGCGUUAAUCGGAAUACUGGGCGUAAAGCGUGCGCAGGCGGUGAUGUAAGACAGGUGUGAAAUCCCCGGGCUUAACCUGGGAACUGCAUUUGUGACUGCAUUGCUGGAGUGCGGCAGAGGGGGAUGGAAUUCCGCGUGUAGCAGUGAAAUGCGUAGAUAUGCGGAGGAACACCGAUGGCGAAGGCAAUCCCCUGGGCCUGCACUGACGCUCAUGCACGAAAGCGUGGGGAGCAAACAGG
rnacentral:rRNA from 1 species